UGUCAGUGGAUUUUACUUUGAACAUAUCGAAACUUUAACAUAAUGAGAUUGUCAUUUAUAUUUUUAAUUGUAUUGUAUUUCGGUCUGGGAGCUCUGGGAUCUCGGAUCAGAAAUACAAGAAGUAGUGUGCCAUAUGAUUUAUUGCCAUCUUAUUUAAUUGGCGGUAAUUCGGGAACCGGGGGUGAACCUUCAAUAUAUACAAAAACAGAGGAUAUAAAGAAUAUAGAAACGGGUAAAAAUUCUACACUGGAUACAAAGGAUACCAAGCAUACCGUCAGUUUACUUGCAGAACUCACUAACGGCAAAAAAUAAAGAACCGUUUAUAAUGCCUAGAACAUCGUCUUGACUUAUAUCUAGCUGUUCAAAUUUGGAAAUUAUUACUCCAGCAUAAAGUUGAUAAUUACAUUAAUAGGACUGUUGGUUCCAUUAAAAUCUUUAAGUCACAUUGUAAAAUUUAAAUAAAGUCUUAGUUUUGAAAUAAU